GGCGGCCCCGCGGCACGUGACGGCAGGGCGGGGCGGGGCGCGCAGCCCCCUGCGGCAGCACAACGCUCGCAGAGGUAGAAAUGCGGGCGGGAAAACAUUACAAGAAGAUUCCGGUACUUUUUUAAAGCUAGUAAUGCUGCUCCCCUCGCACAGGGUCACGGGUUCAGCAGUAAAAGCAGCCUGACUGACAGCUUGCUGCCAUUUCGGACAGUGUGACUUGUUUGGGGCAGGGGAGAGAGACCCAGGCGGGGGAGGAGAGGUGACGCAGCUGUAACCACACCAAUGCUGUACAAACAAAUUGCCUGAGAAGAUGUAGCCUCACCCACUUCAAUACAUCUGUUGGAGAUUACUCCAUUUGUAAUUACGAGGAAGUGAUUAUAAAGGCCAGACAGGGGAAGAAGUGAAGGUACUAACUACAGAGAGCUAAUAUUUGCUCCAAAAAUCACCAUCGUGUUUCGUGGAAUAUUCCAUGUAUUUGAAAAAAAUACAUCCCCCCCUCAAGUUAUCCUGCACUGCUACGAAUUCUCCUUGCUGUCACCUGUCCUACCUGGCAUUGCCCGAGCUGUCUGGAAACCUUGUGCCUCCGCAACAUCUACAAACUUGACCUGGAGAAGAGUGUAACUGCCUUGGAUAGCCACCACCCAGUGGCAAUUAGGGGCUAUUGCAAUGGAAGACACUUCUCAGCUGAUGUCUUCAUUUAUGAUACGCCGCUUUGCUUCGUGGCUCCGUUUAGUGAACAUGCAAAGAAUGACACUUCACUUAGACUGAUCUACAAGUCAUUAAUGAAAUAA
rnacentral:lncRNA from 1 species